rnacentral:lncRNA from 1 species
CUCUUAUACUUUGGAAAGCACUGAGGUUUUAGUACUUGAAAGUUAUUUUUGAUGAUAGUGUCGAAUCGUUGGUACUAAACAUUAAUCCUGAAUGCUCAAGCUGUUAGAAAUACGCAACUAAUUCACUUAAAGUGUACAGAUACAGCACCCACAGGUCUCGAUUGUGACUCGGCCCAACCAGCCUCACGCCACGUCGAACAUGACUCGGCCCACCCAACCUCACACCAUUUCGAACAUGACUCGGCCCAACAUGGCCUCCCACCACAGGGCAGGAUGCUUGCCCAUUUAACCCAACAGAUAGGACAUUCGAUUCGACGAUCGACUUUAUUAAGCAUGAUCUAUACUAUUAGAACUAUUUAGAAAUCAAAUUUCAUAAUUUUUUAAUAUCAUUCACAAAGUGAUCAAAAGGUCUCAAAAGUAAAUAUUUUAAAGGCCAAUGUGGAAUAUUUGUAAGUUCAAUAAUGUAAAACAUUCCAAAUGAGUAUUAUUCUACUUACCUUCAACAGUAAGAUUAAUACUUUCGAUUGAAGUUAAAUUUUUUAUCAUUAUUUUUUAUGGAGCUUUUAUUUUCAGCACUUUAUUUUGAGAUUACUCGUUCAGUAGACAAACGAAGUAAAAAAUUAUAAAAUUUGGUCUCUUGAUAGUUCCAACAUUGUACUUUCGAAGUCCUGUAGAUCAUGUCUAAUGAAGCCGAUCAUCGAAUCAGAUGUCCCCUCAUCAAAAAUAACUUACAAAUAUAUAUAGAUGCCUCCGUACUUUAGACAGUAUAGUAACCUAGCUCUCUGAUCAGAAUCAAUAAUCCUGUCUGGCAAA